GUCUCGUCCCUAUGUAAUCACACCCCGGUAGUAUGAUAAGUGCCUACUUUUGCACAGCAUGGUUGGUCUAAAGUUCUUCUGAACUUUUACGUGACUUGUGCUAAAAGUGUACAACCUCUGUAGAUUGUAAAACUGAUAUAUCAGUUGUGCUCAUGGUCAAGAGCGGUUUGGACCCUCACAUAAUUAAUAAACUUGAAGAUGGACUUCAAUCGUUAUUCUGGUUAUUUCUUGUGGCCUUGCUAAGUACCAACCAUAAGUGUACUCACCCUUGCUAACUACUGCUCAGAAGAAGAUGUUGCUAUGAGGUUUGCUGAAGACGAUGCUGAGUGCUAGGUAUACGCGACCCUCAAUCGAUUGUGUGUGAAGUCUGGAGCCUUCGUUUCCAGGAUUAAGUUGUAUAUCUCUAAUAGACUCGUAAGUCAUUAUUUAUAUUCCUUUAUGUGAUACUGUUACCAUUAUUCACUGAUGAUAUCACUAUAUGUAUGAAACUUGAUCCUGACAUAUAUAUAGGUCGCACUUGGUUUUGUUUUAAAACCGGGUGUGACAAUUAUCUUACACAUCUAUCUUGAGAAGUUAUCUAGAUUCAUUGGUAGAAAACUUGGCAUUAGUCCCGGUUGGUAGGUCUCAAAUCUCUCUAAAAACCAUUCGGGUAAAUUUUCCGAGAUGGGGGGGUCUUUAGUCUCGAUUCGUAUUACCAAUUGGACUAAAAAGUUUCAAAAAAACAAAAAAAAUGCACUGUACCCGCCCGCUUGCCGGCCGGCCGGCCGCCCGCGCGCCGCCCCGACACCGCUCCGCUCUGGCUCGGCCCCGGUGGAGGGGCGUCGACCUCCGGUCCGCCCCAUGCCGGAGCUCCACCCCGGCCUCCGCUCCGCUCCGACCUUCGCCCCGACCCCCGGUCCCAGCCUUCGCUCCGCCGCUUUGCCUCGCGACGCUGCUUUGCUCCGCCGCGCCACCCUCGCCCGCCCGCCCGCGCACGCCGUGCCUACCCACCCUCCCUCUGCUCCCNNNNNNNNNNNNNNNNNNNNNNNNNNNNNNNNNNNNNNNNNNNNNNNNNNNNNNNNNNNNNNNNNNNNNNNNNNNNNNNNNNNNNNNNNNNNNNNNNNNNGGGGGGGGCGGGAGCACGCGUGGGGAGCGCCUUUCAUCCCGGUUGGAAAUUCCAACCGGGACAAAAGACCCCCCUUUUGUCCCGAUUGGUAGUCCCGGUUGGAAUUACCAACCGUGAUAAAAAGGAGGGUCUUUUGUCCCGGUUGGAAUUUCCAACCAGGACAAAAGCGGGGUGCGUCGCUGCCAGAUCUUUUUAACCGCGACUAAAGCCCCUCUCGUCGGUGUCCUUUCGGUACCUCAUGUUUUACCUGAGUCAUCUGGGAUAAAAAAGGUUAGAUGGAAGGUUAGUUCUCUAGUAGUGAUUAGCUUUUAUGUAUCCAUCAGAAAUAAAGAAGAAGAAGCCAUAACAACCUUCUGCACAUCCAUAUAUCAAAAUCCUACGUAUCCUUAACCCUCUGCAUUCUCUGGCUAUGAUCUACUGCUAUUGUCACUUAACACCAUACACAUAUCGAUGAAUGAUACUAUACUAAGAAAGGGAGGCCUUUUCCUCGACUUAUGAGUUAUGAAUCCAGAUGUUAAUGAUUAAUUUGCAGUUUGCACUGUUUAUAUGUUUGUUUUAUGUGAUUCUUUGUCUUUUUGGUUCGCCAGCAACCCGUUUCAUUUAGUGGCUGGUCAGUAGAAAGUGUUUACCGUGGAAAAAUCGCUAAGCUGAUGUAUUUUCAAAACCAUGCAUUUCUGCAACUUUGGCUGCAGCCUCUCCAGUUGAAUGACCAAGAACAGGCACCUCAAAUGCCUGAUAAACAUAAGCGCUUCUCAAUUGCAGGCUUCUCAGUCAAGGUUAAACUGUAUCAUGGUAGUGGUUAAUAACUUGAGUUAUGGUGUGACAACUCUUUAGCAGAGCGAGGUUAGUCAUUGUCUUAGUUUGUUGGCCUUCAGGGUUCUGCGUUUGCGCAAGGGAUCACAUCUCUUAGGGUUGUUUACUCGAUCACCUUGUAUUCUUCUACUCGGCUGGUGGAGGAAAGACCACCCCACGGUAUUUCACUAAGAAACGAAGCGUCAAGAAAGAACACGAAAGCUGGUGCCCCCUCAUGUAGGUCACUGAUCUUUUCAAUAUGAACCUCGGAUUCUAUGUCUACAUCGCAUUCUCUAGCUUUGUUGCGUGCCCACAAGGCAAAAGAAAAAGGAAAAGGAAAAAAGAAAGGCUAGUAAUCAAUUAUUUCUACAGGGAGAAGUGGAUCAAACGCAUAACAAAAAAUAAAUAUCCAUGUAGUUCACUGCUUAUUAGAGUACUGGCAUCAUGGGCCGAAGCAGACAUCAAAAUCUAGGUGGUGCACCACCCAAUGUACAUCACAAGGACCAUGUACAUUUCCCUCGUGACAUUUGGUAAAUUUUAAUUUUGACACACCUGGUGCCUGUGCACCAGGGUAACAUAAUGUGCCCUCGCCAUGGAUAGUUUUCAAUCUUUAAUCCCUUUACCUUUCAAAAAUCCUGCAGCAGCUAGCUGUCUACAAGCAAAGAAUCAUCUUCCUUUCGUUUUCUUGUGAAUUGUGAUUAAGCAAAGAAUCAUCUGCUGGUGACUGCAUGCAGACACAAAAAGAAAAGGUCACCUGGACCACCAGCUCCCCGUUUUGCUUCCAUCUAUAGUACUCUCUCUCGCUCCCUCUCGCGCGCCUGGACACGCACAAUCGUUGGUAUCAUCUGUUUGGCUUCUGUACGCCUAUUUCCUGCUGUUGCAUACCAAUAAUGCUAUUUAACUGAGGUAAGUGACUUAACUACUCGAUCUCUUCCAUUGCAGAAACAGGUUCAUUUGUAACUACGUAGGUUGCUCAUGAUGCAAAUAAACUGAUUUGGAAAAGUUGAUAUAUCGUGUAUGGCACAAAAAUUACAAUGCAUAAGAUCGUACUACUUACCUGAUCUGAGCUAGUUUCAUGCUUGUGCGUUGACCCAGGGAAGAAACUAAGCGAUGGGUUAGAUUCCACCAUCGAAAAGGAGUCGAACUGCGGGAGGUUGGCAGCUGCAUGGUUCUUCCAAAAUGGAAUGGAGGUUGCAGUGUUACUCCAUUGCGGAAGAUCUAGAAGCUACACCGCAGAGAUCCACCAAACUGAGGUGACCGGCGCGGCCGGCUACUCCAAUCCAAUCCGAUCACCAUGCGUACUCAGGUAAACUCGCCAGAUGGCAUGCUCUAUGUUUUUUUUUAUCCACCUCCACUGUAUCUUGGGUACAAUUUCUGUGUGGCAUUUCUGGAUCAAGGUAGGGCUCUAUCCAACGCAUCUUAUCUUACUAUUACUAACUGGAGUCUCUUUUGAAGCCUCCAGGUGAAGCCACCUAGGAACCUAAGUAAACACUCUAGAAAAAGAGAGAAAUGCUUGAAAUUCUCACAAAAAAGCAAAACAUCUAACCAUAAAUCGGUAGGCGCAGAUCAUCACAGCCAUUGGAUCUAUUAUAUUUUCUAAAAAAUUACCCACCUGUAUCAUUACAAAAAUAUCCUAAAGUAACGCCCUAAAUCUAUAUCUAAAUUACCCACCUCUACCAUUAUAUAAAAUAAACUAAAGUAACCCCUAAUCUUCAUCUAAAUUACCCACUAUGCCAUUAUGAAAAAUAAUUCAAAAUAACCCUCUAAAUCUGCAACUAAAUUGUCCACCACUAAUACUUAAAAAAUAACUUAAAUUUGCAUCUAUAUUUCCCACAUAUUCCAUUAUUAAAAAUAAUAUGAACUAAGCUAAAUUAAAUCCAAAUCAUAUUUAUUAAAAAUAUACCCCAAUAUACAUCAAUAUUUGAUUUUAAAUUAUCUAUUUUUACACUAUUAAUAUAUGAUAUAAUAAUUAAGGUAUAUACGCAUGAUGUGUGUCACCAUUUAUAAAGAUAUAGAGGAAGUGGUGAGAAUAUAGAUUUCUAUGUUAAAAUUGUAAAUCAAACUUAGGGUCCAUUAAACAAAUUCAAGCGCAUACAUGCAAUGCAAAAUGAAAAGUUAAAUAUUUUAAAUGUGGAUGAAGAUAUUAUAGAGUAAUUAAUAACUAAAACCUAUCACAAAAUAUAUCUAUAUAAGUAUUGUGUUUGAAUGUUUAACAAAUGAGAGGUACCUCAAGUAAUAGUUUUUUUAAGCAAUGUUGUCUUAUUUUUUUCCAUUGGAGAUUCCGCGUUAGUUCUCACAAGACACGUUAGAAAAAAAUCUAGAAAUUAUAAAAAAAUUAGAAACAUCAAACAUCAAUCCUAGAAACUCUAAUAAUGAUAGUCAUUGGUCUUUUUUAUUUUCUAAAAAUUUACCCAACACUAUCAUCAUGAAAAUAUUCUAUAAUAGUUCUUUUUAGCAAUGGGCCCUUUUUUUCCGUUGGAGACUCCGCAUUUGUUCUCAAAAGACACGCUAAAAAAAUCCUAGAAAUCUCGCAAAAGUCAUAAACAUCAAAUAUCAAUCAUGUAAACGCUAAUAAUUAUAAUCAUUGGUCUAUUUUAUUUUCUAAAAAGUUACCCACCACUAUUAUUAUAGAAAACAUUAUAAGAAUGAACUAAUUUACUUAUCCUAAACGUCGUAUAUUUGAGGACGGAGGGAGUAUAUGCUAGGAAGGGUGCCAUAAUCUCAAGUGAAAAGUGAUCACCGAUCACCCCGAAUGCUCGAUGAACACUGAAUGAUGCAUAUGCGAAUGUGCGCAGGUUAUUGAGGCUAGCACGAAAUUGGGCUGCUGAACAAGUUGUUGAUGCGCUAAAGGAAAAGGCUAAUACUACUAGAAGCGUCGGUAGUAGAGACAAUGUCUUCUACUUCGAUGGCUGGGAUGGGUUGGGGGCGUCCGCUGUUCUCCGAGCCAUCGCCACCCCAACUUCACUAGAUGUGAAGAGAGCCCUGGCCGAGCAGGUCAUCCACAUCGACUGUUCAAUGUGGGAGAGCAGGAGAGCCCUUCAGAAGGCAGUCGAGGAGCAGCUGCAGCUCCCCGAUGAAGUGAUGAAGAUGUUUGAGCAGCAAGAUAAGGAGGAUGAUUUCCGAGGCGUGGCCAAGGGAUCCCGCGCUGAGCUACAACAAGUGGUCUGGGAGAUAUAUCAGCACACGCAGAAGGCAAACCGCAGAUUAUUGGUGAUUUUCCACAAUGGGAGCAGUGAGGAGCUCGACCUGGCCACUUGUUGCGGCUGGUCUCUGUUGCUAAGCUUCAACAUCACGUGGGUGAUCCAUUCUACCAGACAUAGAAUGGGGGGCUUCUUUAUGCCAUCGCAUCAUUUUUGCUGUUUUCUUAUGUGCAUACAAUCUUUGUAACCUAUCUGUUAUGGGCAAGAAGCGCAACACUUUACGCGGGAUCUUGUUUGAGUCAUCCACAUAGCGAGGGGUAUCACAAAAGUCACAUUUCUGUUUAUCCUUAUUAUCUUUAUAAUAAAGCAUGCAAUUGUUGUAGCAAACAUGAAUCUUUUGAUAAGGCAAGCCAAGACCCUCUAACAAUUUUUUUUGAACGAUAGAAGUCCUUUGGCAAUUUACUAUCAGCAGGUAAGAGUUCUUGGAUGAGUGCCACGAUAUCAUCAUAACACGCAAUAGAGAGGUUGCACUGUGACUUUAUAGAUAUCAACCGAGCUGUGGUGGACAAAGUUGAAUGUGUUGUUUGGUCGUGAACUAACUCUUCCGCACUAGCAAUCAUCCUAUAAAAUGCUUUAGCAGCAGCUGUUGGCUCCUCAUCCACUAUUGAUGGAGCAGCUGCAACUAAGUCAGCCAACAUAGUAUCCAUGUCAUCUAUUUCACCAAAACCCUCAAAUUCACGCUGUUGCUGGCCACGCCUCUCACCGUGUGCGGUUCAAAUUCUGUAGUUUUCUUUAAACCCAUUUUGACAUAGGUGUAGCUCUACCUUACCCCUUUCAUGCCGAAAAUAAUUUCGACACAUAGAGCAAGGGCAUUUAAUGGUACCAUAUUGUACUACACUAUCAUUAGCGAAGGGAAAAUCCAAGAAUUCCUUUGUAUGGUCAAUCCAAUCAGAUGUUGGUCUACCAUGGUUCCAUCCACUAUACAUCCAAUCAAGCUCAGCCAUAGUUUACUUUCACUGUUACCAUUCACAAAUUGUUACAGUUAGUGAUUCAAUACUACUAUGGCUACAUCUAUUCUCUAAAACUGAGGAAUCACAGUGUUUAUUUGAAAAAAAAGUUAUCAUACAAUGUUUCAUAUUGGUUAUCCAACAUGAGCAAAAUAAAAAAAACUUAAUCAAGGCAUCCAUAAAGCACACAUGAACAAGUAAAAUGGCACAUGAUAUUGUUAAUGCAUUAACUUCUAUAUCUGAAAGUAACAGAUGAAAGAGGACAAAUUAAUCACAUGAGAUGCAGGAGGUGGCGGCAGGCUUCACUAUUGGAUCUUGUGGUCGACACUGACUCCCUUCCUUCGCCUCUUGUGGAUCCUCCCUUCUACGCCUCUUGGAUCUCUCAUGCCUCUUGCGGCCUGCACCUCUUGUGGAUUCCACGAGCAAAGAGGAGUGUGUCGGGGAGGCGGCGGCAGUGGGGGCGACGGUGCUUGGGGGGAAGGCGACGACGGCGGAGGGUGUCGGAGCGUCAGUUGUGGGGAGGAUGGCGGCGGGGGAGCGGUGGUCGUUGAGGGAGGGUCGGCAUCGGGGGAGCGGCGUUCAUUGAGGGAGGGACAGCGUCAGGGGAGCGGCGGGCGUGGAGGGGAGGGACGACAUCGGGGGGUGUGCACUUUGGCGGAGGGACGACAUCGGGAGGUGGUAGCGGCGAAUGGGAUAGGGUUCGGAGGGGAGGGAACGGUGGAUAUUUUGUUGGGUGGGUCAUUAGUAUGUGGGCCCAAGUGUAAAGUAGCAUGGGAUAGAGCGCGCCGAUCAAUUUUUCGCGCGCAAGUGAAUUUUUUUGCAUAGGUUUUUUGCAUGCGCCCCAUGGCGAAAGAUUUCCCGUCGGUUUUUUCACCGAUAGGAACCCUUUCCUGUCGGUUCUAUGCACACCAUCAGGAACCAGUAGACCAUUCCUGUCGGUUUUUCACUAUCCUGACGGUUCUACUAAGCCGUCAGGAUUUCGUUGGAUGUUUCCUGUCAGUUUUCCCCAUCUGACGGGAUUGGGUGAAGUUUCCUGUCGGUUUUCUUAAAACUGACAGGGAAGGUUCAAACCAACAGGAAUUUUCGGUUUUCUAGUAGUGAGUAUCCCAGAUUGAUAGCUUAUUGAAGAGUUUAUCUAAUUUUCAUCCACAUUGAUCUUCAACAUGUAAUGUGGAUCAGAAGUAUCCGAUUGAAAAGGAUGACCACCGAUCAAUUUCUGUUUAUUGCUAAUUUGGAUAGUUAUAAUUCAUUUUAUACAUCCUUAUCAUAUUCCUUCAUUAUGUUUAAAAUAUGUAAAUUCCUCUAACAACAUUAUAACAUAUACCUUCAUCAAUGCCUAAUAAUGUUUCUUAUUUUUUAAUCCAUCUUAUUAUGCUAGCGACUCUGCCACGACACUAUCAUUUUACCAUGCUCCAUUUUUUUAAUAAGCCAAAAUUUAAACUUAGCCUCGCAUGGAUUGGCAACCAAUACCAACUAUAAUACCUAGAGCCUUACUAUGACCCCGUUUGGUAGAGCUUCGGCUUCUCAUAAAACGGCUUCGGCUUCGGCUUUUUCGGUGGAGUGGCUUUUUUAGUGAAGCUGAAGCCGUUUUGCAAAACAUUUGGUAAAACGGCUUCUCAAUGGCAAUAUAUGUAAUUUUAUGAUCACUUAAUGCUUGGAGAGGGAGGAGAAGCCGGUGAAUCCACUUUUUUCGGCUUCUCCUGUCUAGUGUAAGCCGUUUUGCGGCUUCUCCCCGGCUUUGGUGGUGAAGCCGUUUUGAAAUUGACCCUUUGGUAGGGCUUCACCAAAAGCCGGUGGAGAAGCACUUUGAGAAGCCCUACCAAACGGGGCCUAUAUAUCCUCAGUAUAUAACUUUCAUGAUAAGCUAUAACUAGUUUAAAAAUAGACUAAUUAAUUUAUCAUAAAUGUCCUAUAUUUAAGGAUUGAGUUAGUAAUUUCUACUAGAGAAAAAUCUCAUGAGUUAGCACCCCAUGAACAGGUCACAACUCAAUAAGCUACUGUCCAUGGACUAGGCGGACUAUCCAUAGCUCCCAACCCGUGCAAAAGGAUGGCUGAGAUUUCCUUACUCGGUCGUAGUGCUGCGCCACUAGGUAAUGUUUCAUGGGCCUGAUUGUCGUAUACAUGACUUUUAUUUUUUAAUGGCCAAGUUUUUAUUUAUUUUUCAUAGUGGUUUUUAUUUCCUUUUAAAGUGUUUUGACCUCUUCCUUUUUUUCUUAUUCCAUUUUUCCUUCUUAUUUUUCCUAAUUGUCGAAUUUAUGACACUUUAGUUCACUUUAUAACUAUUUUAUCUUCUAUAAGGAGGAACAUGUUCAUAAAUUAUAUUCACUAAUCAUAUAAUGUAAUUUGGUUGUUUUCAUGGCAUUCAUGAAUUGUUCUGUGGCACAUUUAAAUUGUUCCUAUGAUGAUUUUUUCGUGUAGAAUAUUUGAAAUGUUCAUGGUGUAUUUUCAAUUAUUCCUAUGCUACAUUCUUGUUGUCCUAUUAGAGUAUUUGAAAUAUUCCAUGGCAUAUUUUUUUUAACUUGUCUUAUGAUACAGUUCUAUGGUUCCUUUACAAUAUACAAAAUGUUAGGUGGCAUAGUUUAAAUUGUUCCUGCAGGUGCAGUCAAACUUGGAGAAGUUUUUUAUGAUAGAACAAAAACUUUUUACAAUUUGUAACAGGAAGGUGAUAUGGAAUAACUAGAGGUAGCAUGAAGAACCUAUUCGUCACCCUCCCUCAGAAGGCUCUGACUACUUUUAGGGUUCUUCUUACUUGCCUAAACUAGAACUCUUGGCUGCCUUUAUAAACCAGGCGCCUACUAACAAAGCAACUAACAAAUCUUAUCCAAAUAGCUAACCAAAUCAUAUCCUAACAAACUAAUAUCUAUCCCGUGUUACUGUUCACACGCUACAGUACAGUGGGUCCAAGCCUAGAGCCGGUCCCACUACCAUAACAGAAGGAGUAUUAUUAUUAGCCAUUCUUAGUUGUCAUGUAAUCAGGUUUUGUCUCCACUUGUUUUACUACCUCUCUCCCAAAAAACAAGUCAUUUUUAGAAUUCAAAAUUUAUCUAAAAAACAAAUCACUUUACCCUAUUUAAUUUAGCAUGCAUGUGCAUGUGUAUAUUGCAGUCAAUUAGCGAUAAAAAUAGCUAAUAAAUAGGGGCAAGCAAGAUCAUUCUAGUUCCUUGUUAAUCUGUUUUAAAAUUCUUGAAUGAUCUUUUUUUGGGUAUUGAGGGAGUACGUGAAAAGUUUACCAACUAUGCUGUUUAAGAAACCACGCUGUGUUUGAAACUUUGAAUGCAAGCUACUGCCGAAAGCUCAGAUCCUAUAUCUACAUUGGAUUCUCUAUCUUUGAUCACUUUGAGUCGCCCACAAGGCAAAAACAAAGAAAAAGAAAAGGAAAGGUUGAUACUCAGUUAGCGCUACAGUCGCUCGCAUGGAGAGUGCGUCAGGCAGAUAACAAAGAACAGUUAUCCUUGUGUUUCACUACUUCUAACAGUACUAGCAUAUAUACCUUUCAAUCUUUAAUCCCUUUACCUUUAAAAAAUCCUGCAGCAGCUAGCUGGCUACAAAGAAAAGAACCAACUUUCUUCUUUUUCCUGGGAGCUAGUAACAAAGAAUCAUCGGAUGACCAUUUACAGACAGAAAAGAAAAGUUUACCCGGAGAUUUGCCUAAAAGCAAAGUUUAUGUGGACUGCCACCAGGCAAUUUGCAUCGACCUAGCUAUACUCUACCUCACUCACUCAGCCUCUCCGAGACACACGAAAAUACACAACCGUUGGUUCUAUCUGUUCGGCUCCUGUCUGUCUCUCCUACUACACGCCAAUUCUACUUAACUGAGGUAUGUAAUUUAAACUACUCAUCGAUCCCUUCCUCCAUUGCAAACACAUGUUUAUUUGUAGAAUGCUCAUCAUGCAAAUAUACUAGCUUGGAAAGUGGCUAUAUGUAUGGCACAAAAAUUAGAAUGCAUGAGGCGUACUACAUACCUGCUCUUAUUAGUUAGUUUCAUGCUUGUGUGACCAGAUCAUCUGAGAAAUUAAUUAAGUGAUGGGUUAGAUCCCAUAAUUAUUGGCUGCAGUAUUAUCCCAAAGGAAAGUGGAGGUUGCAGUAUUAUUGGCUGAAGAUCUAGCAGCUACACCCCAGAAAUCCACCACAGGCUGUGCUGACAGGCGUGGCCGGUUACUCCAAUCCAAUCCACUAUGCGUACUGAGGUAAACCACCGAGUUAGAACGAUUUAUCUUUUUUUUUUGUUUUUGUUCCAUCUUAAUCUCAAGUGAUGACCACCCUUGUUCCUCGAUGGCCUAAUGCAUAUGUACAUUUGCAUGCAGGGCCUUUGGGCCGACACGAUAGACGAGGCUGCUGGAAGAAUUCUCGAAGUGCUGAAGAGAAGUAUCAGUAGCAGAGACAACGUCUUCUACUUCGAUGGCUGGGAUGGGUUGGGGGCGUCCGCCGUCCUCCGAGCCAUCGCCACCCCAACUUCACCACGUGUGAAGAGAGCCCUGGCCGACCUGGAGUUUGAUCAGGUGAUCCACAUCGACUGCUCAAUGUGGGAGAGCAGGAGAGCAUUUCAGAGGGCGGUCGCGGAGCAGCUGAAGCUCCCCGAUAAAGUGAUGAAGAUGUUUGACAGGCAAGACGAGGAGGACGAUUUCCGCGGGGUGGCCCAGGGCUCUCGCCGUGAGGUAGAACAAGUCGUCAGAGAGAUGCAUGAGUGCAUGCAGAAGCUGAACCGUAGAUUCUUGGUCAUCUUCCACAAUGGGAGCGGAGAGGAGAUCGAUCUGGCCAGUUUUUGUGGCUUCCUUUUGUCCGGGUACUCAACCAGCAAGGUGCUCUGGACAUUCCAAGGGAGAUUCCGGCUAAAAACCCGGGUGAAAGUUGACAUGGCCAUAAAGAGCGCAGGAACAACUGAUGCUUUUCUCUGGGCGGGCCAGCGGAAUGAGAAGCAAGAGCAGCUCUGGUCCUACCUUGUACUCCAAGAGGCUGCGGAAGUAGCUGAAGCAUGCAAGGUCACAGCUGGGUCAGGCGACAUUAUCGAUCAGCCUGCACAAGUGGCCGAGUGCUUCAUAUACAUGUUGGAGCUGUGUUGCAGAGGCAGCCACUCGAUUGACUUUGAUUUGGCCACCCAUGGCACCAACUACUGGGUAUGUGAUGGCAUCAUACAACAGCUAAAACAGGAAGGAAGAGACCUCAGCGCUAAUGAUGAUAGUGAUUGGCUUUGGAGAGCUGCCGAUGCGCUGCAGCGUGAGAUAGCAUUGGAUGUAGACUACCAUCAACAUGUGCCCUCAUCUCACUUGUCAUUAUGUGUCGAGAGCAAGCCAUAUUGGAUUUCACCAAAUUAUGGGUUUAAUCGGGUCCCGGGCAGAGCUAUCCUUAAUGGGGGCACUUUCCAACACUAUCUCGACAAGCUUCGUGUUCUCAAGCUCUCACGCUGCACCUUCAACUUCCAAUCACCUCCAUUCCUCUACUGCCAGGGCCUCAGGUUUCUAUGGCUUGACCAUUGCCAAGACACUGGGAUCAACAAAGACGGAGAAGGGAAGGAGGACGUCUGCCGGUGCUUCCAGAGGUUAUGGGUGCUUGACGUGCGUUACACAGACUGUCAUCAGAUCUUAUCUGCACAGACAAUGGAUUUCAUGACUCAACUCAGGGAGCUAAAUGUGAUGGGAACCGAGGGAUGGGACAUGGGACAGCUCCAGGGACGAUUGCCUAACAUCCGCAAGCUCCGAGUAACAAAGUCUACUGUCACCUGCAGUUUCUCAGAAGAGGACCUGUUCUCAAAGAUGAACAAGAUGGAGGUUCUUGAAUUUUCAGGAAACAGCAUUUACAGUUUUGGCAUCACAGUCAACAAUAGCAGCUGCCUUGAGACCGUCAAUAUUGGCAAGUGUAUGGGAUUACUUCGAAUCUCCUUCAAGGGAUGUACUAAACUGAAGAAUCUAAUCUUUAGUGGGUGGUUGUUUAAUUUUCUUACCAUAGACAUCUCAGGCACAGCAGUGAAAACACUGGAUCUCACUGCAUUAACAAACCUUGAUGCUCUUUUUGAGCUCUAUCUACUUGACUGCAAGAAGCUUUGUGCAAUACUGUGGCCACCAAAAGACAACAUGAUGAAACAUGACAUAGAUAUGCUCUGCAUUGACACCACGCGGUCAGCACCCACUGCCCAAUCUAGGGAAGAAAUAGCCAAGAGUGGUACUACUGCUGCUACUAUAGGAACAUCGGCAGCAACAACAGUACUGCAUCGCAGUCGACCGACCAAUGAAUUUCCUUGGUACAUUUCUGUAAGGGAUGCAAGGCUCCUCAUGUCCCUUGAGGCAGUGUAUUCCAAAUCCCGCGAGCUAUAUUUGGAGGUUUCCCCUACACCAAGUCCUACUGUUUUUGCUGCUGGUUGCAGAGAUGAAGGAAUCAAGAGCGGCAGCAGCAGUGAGCUACAGCGACAGCCUGCACCUGCAAUAUACGCAGCAGCAGGUACCACCGCUAAAUGUGAUGGUGAUGCUCCAGGGAUCAUGUGGAUGUGGUCUUGCCCGGAUGUUCCUGAUCUUCACGAAAAGAGCUGCUACAUGCACAUACAAGAAACCAAUACCGCCAUUACUGUCCCAGGGUUUGUAGUUGAUUGUGCUAAAAUCCUGCAUGUGCGGGAUAGCAUGUCCAUCACUGUUUUUCCGGGCACCAAGUACCAGGGUUCAGAAUGGUACCAACUGGAGUGGUGCAGAAUCGAGAGGUGCCCCAGAUUGGAGGAUGUGUUCACUCCCCAAGAAAAAAAUAGAGGCCUCAUAUAUAUCAAAGACUACAGGAUGAAGACAUUCUGGGCCUCACAGCUUCGGAAGGCAAGCUGUAUCUGGAAGUGGACUCAACCAUGUGGAUUGCUGGUAUUUUUGCACGUGGAUUGCUGCCCCAGGCUGGUAUAUGUACUCCCUUUGUCAAUAUACACUUGGAUAUUGAGUCAGCUAGAAACCCUCGAGAUCACGUGGUGCGGGGAUCUCCGGGAGGUAUUUCCUUUGGAGACCUACCCCAUGGGCUUGGCAGAGAAGCAGCCUCAGCCAGUUACUACCCUAGACUUCCCGGGUCUCAAGCGUAUCCACCUGCAUGAGCUCCCUAGACUACAUAGCAUCUGUGGGCUCAGGAUGUCCGCGCCCAAUCUGGAGACCAUCAAGAUCAGGGGCUGCUGGAGUCUCAAACACCUUCCGGACGUCGGUGGCGGUGACAAGGCAGUGGAGUGCGACUGCGAGAAGGAAUGGUGGGACAGGCUUGAGUGGGAUGAUGGCUCGCAGGUGACCCGCUACAAGCCGAUCCACUCGCGGUACUACAAGAAGACCCUGCUCAGGAGCUCUGUUCUCAGGUGAUCCCUCUUGCCCACCAUGCUAUUUACAAAGUAGUUAUUAAAUAUAUGACGUUAUUGACUUUUUACUCCAACUUUGACCACCAAUAUCUAUUGAACAAAUUAGUAUCUAAAGUAAAAUGUGUAUCAUUAUGUCUAUUGUCAAAUGUACUUUAAAUUUAACUUGUAGGUUUACCUAUUUGCAAAAAUAUUUAUAGAAAAGAUGCAUAGUCUAACAAAUGAAAAAAGUUAAUGGCGAAGAACGGAGGGAGUAUAUAGAUUUUCUCACCUGAACUUGUGAAUCAUUGUUUCUCUCCCGUCCUGUAAUGCUCUCCUCUCCAACCUCCUGCAGGUGAGGUGUUGUCGCUGAUUCUGCUUCAGCGGCUGUUCGAUUGAUUUGUGUGUGAGAAUGACGACACGGAUGCGUCCAGGUUGUCUGCUUCUGCUUUGAUUUACUUUGUUUUGGUUUGGUUGUUGGUCGUCGUUCCUCAGUGGAUCCAACCCAACCACUAUAACACAGAUUGAAAGCGUGUUAUCAUGACAUCUUGAUGGAUAAGAUGGCGUGCUGCAGACAGACCCCUAUGUGCUUCUGCAGACACAUCUGGAGGCUGGAGCUGUGGAGAAAAUAAAAGCAAGAGCCAGCGAUCGUUUCAGUUCAGCAGCUGAGUUCCCUUCGGUUUGCUUCUGCAGUUGCUGCGCUCUUGGCUGGUGUGCUUGCGGUGUGUGCUGUAUUUCUGUGGCGUGUGGGCUUUCAGUAUUGUGUGGAAUGGAGUGAUCAAUGUUGUUUGUUGAGGCGCUUGUAUUUACAAACAAAUCAAUAAAUACUGAUGGUUGUAUGUGUGAUUUGAAUGUCCACUAUUGUACUCCCUCCAUUCCAAAUUACUAUUCGUUUUGACUUUUCUAGAUACAUAACUUUUGCUACGUAUCCAGACACAUCAUAUAUCUAAGUGCAUAGUAAAAGCUAUAAAUUUAGUAAAGCUAAAACGAAUAGUAAUAUAGAAUGAAGGGAGUGCAUGGCAACAUGUAUAUGGAUCCAGUACCAGAAUUCCUUAAUUGGGAGACAUUUGCUACCUCAUAUGUUAAUUGGGAGACAUUUGCUACCUCAUAUGUUAAUUGGGAGACAUUUGCUACCUCAUAUGUACUCUUGAGAAUAUGUGCAUAUAAUUUUUCUAGGCAUGUAUUGGUACUGUAAUCCAAUAUCUCUGAUUGAAUAGUUUGUACUGGGAUUUCUUGAAAUUGACCCUUCAGCCUUGCUUUAAGAUAAGAAAGGCAUGGUGCCUCCUGAGCACGGAAACCAAGAUAAGACUAAAUUUUGAAGUUCUAUAUAAAUACCUCUACCCUGAAUCAGGGUGGCAAUCAAUACUUCUCUAGCAUAUACACGACUAGGAUAAAAACGCAACCAACUCGCAUAGUUACUACGGUACACAGUACACACUACUCUGUUCUUUGCUGUUCCUAAGGUCGAAUAGGACGACCUCAGUGCUAAGCUUCACUGGUCACCGGAUGAAUACCAAUCUCAUGGUGCAGGCGCAGCCACGCCAGCCUCCUGACGCUUGGCGUCGACGGCUUCCUUCAGCUUCCUCCCGAGCGCAUAGGCGAGAGGCGGGGGCACCGCGUUGCCAAUCUGCCUGCGCUUGCUCUGGAUGUUGCCCGUGAACUCGUAGCUGUCAGGGAAGCCCUGCACAACCAAGAUUCGAUCGUGUUAAACCGAGAUAAUCCUGAGCAUCAUUGCCAUUUCUUUGCAAAUGGAGAUCAAUGGACAUCAGCUUACCUGAGACCGAGCACAUUCGCGGACCGUGAUGAUCCUGUCUUGUUCAGGGUGGAAACAUAUGCCGACCUUGCCCAUUGGCUGGGGAUCUGUGACAGAUGUGGGGAAGUUGCCCUCCCAGUCCAGCCUCCCGUACAGACCCUUCCACUGAUUGUGCCUCUUGGCAGUGUUGGGCAGGCACCAAGGUAUCAGGUCCGCCAUCUGGCCGUUGGACAGUUUCACCUGUGAGCAUAGCAAGAGAGUUACCAUGGACAGCAGGAAGGCGUACAGCAAUAGAAACAGAGAUGCAGCAAGAGAGUUUAGAAUAUUACCUUCUCAUCAGGCAGGUCAUGCCAGUCGCAACCUGGUCGUUUCGGAAUGUGCUGGCACCUUAUGAGGUUCAGCUCAUUCAUCUCCUUGGCUAUGUGAUCAUUCAGUGCCAUCAUGUUCCCUCUAAUCUUCUUCUGGAACCAAGACACAGGCUCACCUCCAUACUGCACAAGAUAACAGGGAGCUCAUUUAGCAUACAACUCAUAGAAAGAAAAGAAAAUGGGUGGGUUGGAGCAGCAGUCACCUCAAGUGUGAGUUUGCUGGCACCAUUUUCCACUUUAGGCAGAUCCCCGAUUGUAUCUCUAACAGUUAUUGCUCGGAAAGGUGCUCCACCAGCAGUGCUUCUGGCAGCUGCAUAGUAUUGACCAUCAGGCAGCGUAAUCUUCAGCUCAGGGCUAGCAAACACAUGCAUUGGCUCUGGCCAAUCAGGAAGAGUCUCUCCAGGUGCAGCAGCCCAAAUGAAUGCCCUUUUCCUAGAUUGAGCAACACCAAAAGCCCCUGCUUCUAGAAUUCCAAACCGGACCUGAUCAAAUGGCAAACGAUUUCUGAGUAUACAGAUUCCAAUCGCCACAAAGAAAAGUAUGCUAUAGGUCUUAGUAGAUAAUGAAUGAACAGAAUAAAUACCUGGUAUCCCAUCUCCAGAAGAGAUGCUACUGCUAGUCGGAAGGUCUGCCCUUUGUUGAACGAAACAAAGUUCCGAACAUUUUCUAAAAGAAAGAAUCUAGGUCGGAAAUACUCUGCAAAUGAGAGGAAUGCUAGAAUCAUAUCGCACUGAACUUUACUCCAUGGGCUCUGGUUGAAUCUAUUCAUCCCAUAAAAUCCCUGACAAGAAGGAUAAACAAUUCAAGUAACUGAUCAGCAAAACUGAAGAGGUGAUUGUUCUGGCCUAGGUGCAUGUACUCCCUUUGCCACUAUACCCGAUCGGUAACUCGCCAGCAUUGCCAUUGCCGAGCAGCUUGAGUCAGCUAGAAACCCUCGAGAUCACGUGGUGCGGGGAUCUCCGGGAGGUAUUUCCUUUGGACACCAUCACCAAGGACCACAUGAAGCAGCUGAAGCAGCCAGUUACCCUAGACUUCCCCGGUCUCAAGCGUAUCCACCUGCAUGAGCUCCCUAGACUACAUAGCAUCUGUGGGGUCAGGAUGUCCGCACCCAAUCUGGAGACCAUCAAGAUCAGGGGCUGCUGGAGUCUCAAACGCCUUCCGGACGUCGGUGGCGGUGACAAGGCAGUGGAGUGCGACUGCGAGAAGGAAUGGUGGGACAGGCUUGAGUGGGAUGAUGGGCUCGCAGGUGACCCGCUACAAGCCGAUCCACUCGCGGUACUACAAGAAGACCCUGCUCAGGAGCUCUGUUCUCCGGUGAUCCCUCUUGCCCACCAUGCUAUUUACAAAGUACAUAGAUUUUCUCACCUGAAUUGGUUAAUCAUUGUUUCUCUCCCGUCCUGUAAUGCUCUCCUCUCCAACCUCCUGCAAAUGAGGCCCUUCACUGCUGGAUCUCCUGAUUCUGCUUCGGCGGCAGUUCGAUUGAUUUGUGUGUGAAUUACGACACGGAUGCAUGCUUCGCUUGCGUCCAGGUUGUCUGCUUCAAUUUACUUUGUUUUGGUUUGGUUGUUGGUCGUCGUUCCUCAGUGGAUCAUGACAUCUUGAUGGAUAAGAUGGCGUGAUGCAGACAGACCCCUAUGUGCCCUGUCUGGAGCUGUGGAGGAAAUAAAAGCAAGAGCCAGCGAUCGUUCAGUUCAGCAGCUGAGUUCCCUUCGGUUCAGCAGCUUUGGAGAAAAUAGCGUGAUCUGCUUCUGCAUAGGUUUGUUCUGCUUCGUUUGUUGGGUCGGCGUUCCUCGAUGAAGAACGUUCCGUCGUCACUACACCUCGGAUUGGAAGUCUGCGUGAUCAUGCCAUCUUGUUGGAUAAGAUGUUGCGUUGGAGACAGAACUAUAUGUGCUCUGUCUGGAUCUGUGAAGAAAUAGAAACAAGAGUGCCAGCGAUCAUUCAGUUCAGUUCAGUUCAGCAGCUGGAUUCCCUUCAGCUUGUGCGAUAGCAGCAUGAGACAUGCCUUCGUGCUUGCUGCUGCCAGUUGCUGCGUUCUUGUGCCUGGUAUGCUUGUUGAGUGUGCUGUAUUUCUGUGGCGUUUGACCUUUCAGCUGUGUAUGUGUGGACUUGAUUGAUCAAAUGUUUGUUUGUUGCUGCACUUAUAUUUAUAUGAACAAGUAAAUAAAUGCCGACGGUGGUUGUACAUGUGUGUGAUUAGAAUGUCCACUACCAACAUUCAAAGUCCUUACUUGAGGUACAAUAAUACUACCGUCGUAUAUGCUCUGUUCUGCGGUAACAGAGAAUAUGUUCUGAGCAUGUAUGGGUAUACAUAGCUCGAGCUUGCCUCACCAUAAUCCAAUAUUUCUCCAAUGCAUAUAAAUUCAUUUGUUUCUUAGAUUUCAUCACUUAGUAUUGGAAUUUCUAGAAAUAAUCAAUGGAGGGAAUUCCUUAUGACUGAAACAAAUUUCACACUGCACACAGCACAACAAAAUGACCCUUCAUAUAGAAGCUGUGCUGUCACCGGCAAUGCUCUAUGUAAAAAACCCCCUCCUUUUGGCCUGGUCUAGAAAAGGUCGUGAGCAUAACACGAAACACCCAAUGAGAGAUCUUUUUUUCUAAUCCAAUUCCAUUUAGUUUGCUCUGAGAAGUAGUUGAAUCGGCCGAUGCUCUAACAGUUAGGUUGGAGCCCCUUCAGUAGGACGGAUAAACUGAUACGGAUGGGACUUGCUUCUUACUUUAGGCCUUCAGGUUAAGAAGAAAUUAGUUGUACAUGAAUUAACUUAGCUGCUCCCUUAAUCUUUCAAUCCUAACUCCGUCCCUGUCCCUAUAUACUCGUAAGAAAAUGUAAUUGUUAGUCGAAAACUUGUUCUAAUGAAAUGAAGUGAGCCUAAUUUUAAGCUGAGGAUCACAUAUCGAUCGAGCACUCAAUUAACCAAAGAUGUACUUAUACCGUACAAGUUACCGAACCUUAACGGUCAACUUAAUCUGCAGAAGGGAAGCACGUAGACGAGAAAAGUUCAUGUCACUCAAGUAAAUGCAGAACAUCAGAAGGCACGUAGACGUAGUCAAUCAGCGGAUAAGAUGAUAAUGGGGCCGACACCAGUCGGUUGCUUGUGGCGGCCAGAAAUGGAGCAGCAGAAUUCAUUCACGCACGGCUAAUAUAUUUAAAAAUUAUUAAAUUUAAAAAUUAUUUAGAAAUUAAACUACUUGCUAAUAAUAAAUUUUUUUUACCUACUACUCUCUCAUUUUAUCAGUACUUCAACAUAAUACUCAUAUAGAUAUAUACUUAUCUUUAUCCAAUUAUAAUUGACGUUUAAUUAGUAAUUACUCUAUACACUUUUUCGUCCAUAUUCAUGCUUUUUUUCAUUUUGUAUCACACCUCCAUGCAUUAUGUUUGGCAUAAAAAUCAAUAUUUUUUAUCACUUCCCCACAUACAUGUAUAAAUGGUUUACACAGUGACCCUCAUUAUGGGUAUGUACCUUAACUUAGUAUUUCUAUACUAACAUAUAUAUAAAUAGAUAAUUUAGAAUCGUAUAUUAGUUUACUCUUGGACAUUUCUGUACGAUGCACAUGAAGAUAAUUAGAUUAAGAUUUAGGUGCUUACUUUAGGUUAUUUUUAAUAACGACAUAUGUGAGUAACUUAGAUACAAAUUUAGAAUUACAUUUUAAGUUAUGCUUUAUAAGGAUUUGCAUGAGUAAAUUGGAUGAAGAUUACAGGGGGUUACUUUGGAUUAUUUUUUUAUAAUGGCAGAGCUCGGUAAUUUAGAUAUAGGUUUAGAGUUUAUUUUACAAUAUUUUCAUAAUGAUAGAGGUAGGUAACUUUUUAGAAAAUAUAAUAGACCAAUGACAAUGAUUAUUAGAGUUUACAGGAUUGAUGUUUGAUAAUUUUGUUUUUUUGAGAAUUUUCUAGGAUUUAUCUUUUUUCUAGCGUGUCUCAUGAGAACUAAUGCGUAGCCUCCAAUGGAAAAAAAUAAGACCACAUUGCUGCAAAACUAUUACCUUAAGCUACCUCUCAUUUGUUAAAUAUUCAAACACAAUAAUUAUAUAGAUAUAUACUUAUUAUUUUCGUCCGAUUGUGAUAGAUUUUAGUUAGUAAUUACUCCAUAGAUUUUUUAUCCAUAUUUAUAAUCUUUAAAUUUUCACUUUGCAUUGCAGGUAUGCGCUUGAAUUUGUUUAAUGGACCCUGAGUUUGAGCUAUAAUUUUAACAUAGAAAUCUAUAUUCUCAUCACUUUCUCUAUAUCUUUAUAAAUGAUGACACACAUCAUGCAUAUAUAUAUAUAUAUAUUAAUUAUUUAUCAUAUACUAAUAGUGUAAAAAUAGAUGAUUUGAGAAUCAUAUAUUGGUGUAUAUUUUUAAUUAAGGCGAUUUGGAUUCAAAUGUAGAGUUACCUAGUGUUAUUUUUAAUAAUAGCAUAUGUGGGUAAUAUAGAUGCAAAUUUAAGGGUAACUUUAAUUUAUUUUUUAAGUAUUAGUGGUGAGAAAUUUAGUUGCAAAUUUAGGGGGUUAUUUGAAAUAUUUUUUAUAAUGACAUAAGUGGGUAAUUUUGAUGAAGAUUAGGGGUUACUUUAGUUUAUUUUAUAUAAUGGCAGAGGUGAGUAAUUUAGAUAUAGUUUUAGGAAGUUACUUUAUGCUACUUUUAUAAUGGCAUAUGUGAGUAAUUUUUUAAAAAUAUAAUAGAUCUACGAUGCUUUGAGGCUACCGAUUGUUGGCUAGAUGUUUUGUUUUUUUUGAAUUUGUAGGAUUUCUCUCAUUUUCUAGAGCCUCAACCUAGGAUUCUAGGUGGCGUCAGCUAGAGGCUUCAAAAGGAGCCUCCAGUUAGUAAUUAUACUAAUAAUCUCUCUUUUACUAGAGCGUCCGCCUAGGAUCCUUAGUUUCACCUGAAAGUUUCAAAAGGAGUCUCCAAUUAGUAAUAGUAAGAUUUGACAUCAUAGGUAUUAUUAUUGCUUUAUAUAAUCUUGUCAAACUUAAAGCAGUUUAACUCAAAAAUAAAAUUAGAAUCCCUUGUGUAUUGAAACAAAAUUAGAACCCCUUAUGUAUUUUAGAAGGAAAUGAAGUACUAUAGUAUGUAACCAACGAGACGUACAAUACCGUACAAGUUACCGAACCUUAACGGUCAACUUAUUCUACGAUUGGUAAAACUCUGUGGACGAGAGAAGUUCUUGUCACUGAAGUUAGUGGAGAAGGGAAGCGCGUAGUCAACCAGCGGAUAAGAUGGUAAUGGGGCCGACACCACGUCGGUUGCUUGUCGCCGCCAGAAAUGGCGCAGCAGAAUUCAUUCUCAUUCAUGCGCCCUACUAACCAAUGGGUUGGUUCAUGAACAUGUCAUUUUCAGUUCGGUGUAUUAGGCUGGUGAGCUGUCCUCCACGCUGUCCAAAUUCCAAGCUACCAAGAUGAGCACACUAAUCAAUAUUCCAAGUUUCCAAUCCCAAUCCAACACUAUAUAAGAAGCUAAACAAGCAAGAAGAAGAAGAAGAAGCAAUCACCCAUCAGCAAUGGCGCUCGCAAGCCGCCGGAGGCUAGCAGCCUCCCUCCUGGCCCUCGCGGCGGUCCUCCUCGCCGGCCCGGCGGCGGCGACGGGGAAGACCGGGCAGGUGACGGUGUUUUGGGGCCAGAACAAAGCCGAGGGCUCCCUCCGUGAGGCCUGCGACACCGGUACCUACACCUUCGUCAUCAUCUCCUUCCUCAACGUCUUCGGGCACGGCAAGGCGAGCCUGGACCUGUCCGGCCACCCGAUCGGCCCCAUCGGCGCCGACGUCAAGUACUGCCAGUCCAAGAGCAUCCUCGUCUUCCUCUCCAUCGGCGGGCUCGGCACCCAGUAUUCCCUGCCCAGCGUGCAGGCCGCCACCGACCUCGCCGACUACCUCUGGUUCGCCUUCCUAGCCGGCCACCGCAAGGGCGUCCACCGCCCGUUCGGCGACGCCGCGGAGCUCGACGGCAUCGACCUGUUCAUCGACCAGGGCCCGCCGGACUACUACGACGUGCUGGCGCGCCGGCUGUGGAGCUACAACAAGGACUUCCGCGGCCGCACGCCGGCGCAGCUGUCGGCGACGCCGCGGUGCCGGUACCCGGACCCGCGGCUGGAGCGGGCGCUCGCCACGGGGGUCGUCACACGCAUCAACGUCAGGUUCUACGGCGCCGACGGGUACUGCGCCGCCUACUGGCAGCUGGAGUGGGACAAGUGGACGGCGGCGUACCCCAACUCCAUGAUCUACGUGGGGCUGCCGGCGUCGGAGCAGACGGUGGGCUACGUGCACCCCAAGAACCUCUACUACGGCGUCGUCCCGGUGGUGCAGAAGGCGGCCAACUACGGCGGCAUCAUGAUCUGGGAGCGAUACGCCGACAAGCAGAGCAACUACAGCAGCUACGCCAUCCAAUGGGCUUGAGCAGUUGAUCGAGCUCCAUCCAUCCAUGUUCCAUGCCUUACUCUGCUGUGUGUAUCUCCUCACUAGCGUGUGCUU
rnacentral:lncRNA from 1 species